CCCCCCACACAAUGUCCAGCACUGAGCUCUGACAUCCUUGAGGACAUGGUGCUUCUAGGACCUUUGAUACCAGAGAUCUGAGGAG